rnacentral:rRNA from 1 species
UACGGGGGGGGCAAGCGUUGUUCGGAAUUACUGGGCGUAAAGGGCUCGUAGGUGGCCAACUAAGUCAGACGUGAAAUCCCUCAGCUUAACUGGGGAACUGCGUCUGAUACUGGAUGGCUUGAGUUUGGGAGAGGGAUGCGGAAUUCCAGGUGUAGCGGUGAAAUGCGUAGAGAUGCGGAGGAACACCGAUGGCGAAGGCAGCCCCCUGGGCUGACACUGACGCUCAGGCACGAAAGCGUGGGGAGCAAACAGG